AGGUUGGCUCAGAAGCAGCCAUCCUUUAAAGAGUGCGUAACAGCUCACUAGUCGAAUGACUCUGCGCCGAUAAUUUACCGGGGCUAAGCAUACUACCGAAGCUAUGGAUCCCAAGGGAUGGUAGGGGAGCGUUCCAUGAACGGAGAAGCGCGAUCGAGAGGACGCGUGGAGAUCAUGGAAGAGAGAAUGCCGGUGUGAGUAGCGGAACGUGGGUGAGAAUCCCACGCACCGAAAACCCAAGGUUUCCAGAGGAAGGUUCGUCCGCUCUGGGUAAGUCGGGACCUAAGGCGAGGCCGAAAGGCGUAGUCGAUGGACAACAGGUAGAGAUUCCUGUACCCGUAUAUAUGUGAAGGAAUGACGGAGAGAGGAAGCUGCAGCCAGCGGCUGGAAGAGCUGGUGCAAGCGAGAUAUCGGGAUGGCAGGCAAAUCCACCAUCCGAAACGAGAAGGCGUGAAGCGUACGGAAAGCUAAGGCGAGUACGGAAGGCAGUGGAGGAGCUUCCAAGAAAAGUUUCUAACGAAAGUAUAUGUGACCCGUACCGAAAAUGGACACACAUGGGUGAGGAGAGAAUCCUAAGGUGAGCGAGAGAACUAUAGCUAAGGAACUCUGCAAAAUGACUCCGUAACUUAGGGAGAAGGAGUGCUCAUAGAGAUAUGAGCCGCAGUGAAACGGCCCAAGCGACUGUUUACCAAAAACACAGCUCUCUGCUAAGCCGCAAGGCGAAGUAUAGGGGGUGACGCCUGCCCGGUGCUGGAAGGUUAAGGGGAGGGGUUAACGCAAGUGAAGCCCUGAACUGAAGCCCCAGUAAACGGCGGCCGUAACUAUAACGGUCCUAAGGUAGCGAAAUUCCUUGUCAGGUAAGUUCUGACCCGCACGAAAGGCGUAACGAUUUGGGCGCUGUCUCAGCUGUAGACUCGGUGAAGUCUUAGUACCUGUGAAGAUGCAGGUUACCCGCGACUAGACGGAAAGACCCCAUGGAGCUUCACUGCAGGUUGAUAUUGGGAUUUGAUGCAGCAUGUACAGGAUAGGUAGGAGGCAAAGAGAUGGAUACGCCAGUAUUCAAGGAGCCGCUGUUGGGAUACUACCCCUGUUGUAUUGGAUUUCUAACCGGACGACGUAGAGCCGUUGACGGGACAGUGUCAGUCGGGCAGUUUGACUGGGGCGGUCGCCUCCCAAAGAGUAACGGAGGCGCCCAAAGAUACCCUCAGCUUGGAUGGAAACCAAGCGCAGAGUGCAAAGGCAAAAGGGUGUUUGACUGCGAGACCCACAAGUCGAGCAGGGACGAAAGUCGGGCUUAGUGAUCCGGCGGUGCUGAAUGGAAAGGCCGUCGCUCAACGGAUAAAAGCUACCCUGGGGAUAACAGGCUGAUCUCCCCCAAGAGUUCACAUCGACGGGGAGGUUUGGCACCUCGAUGUCGGCUCAUCGCAUCCUGGAGCUGAAGUCGGUUCCAAGGGUUGGGCUGUUCGCCCAUUAAAGCGGUACGCGAGCUGGGUUCAGAACGUCGUGAGACAGUUCGGUCCCUAUCUGUCGUGGGCGCAGGAAAUUUGAGAAGAGCUGUCCUCAGUACGAGAGGACCGGGAUGGACGCAUCAAUGGUGGACCAGUUGUCACGCCAGUGGCAUAGCUGGGUAGCUAAAUGCGGAAGGGAUAAACGCUGAAGGCAUCUAAGUGUGAAACCCACUUCAAGAUGAGAUUUCCCAUUGCGCAAGCAAGUAAGACCCCUUAAAGACGAUAAGGUAGAUAGGUCAGGAGUGUAAGCAUGGUGACAUGUUAAGCGGACUGAUACUAAUAGGUCGAGGGCUUGACCGA
rnacentral:rRNA from 1 species